AACGAACGCUGGCGGCGUGCUUAACACAUGCAAGUCGAACGGCAGGACACUGCGUGCGUGCGGUGCUCGAGUGCCGAACGGGUGAGGAUCACGUAAGUAACCUGACCUUCACUUUGGUAUAGGUUCAGGAAGCUAGGGCUACUACAGGACAGGAGCCGAUGUAGCAUUGUGAGGAUGGGAACGUUUCAGCGGUCGGGGAUGAAUUAGCGGCUGUUCAGCUAGUUGGUGGGGUAAAGGCCCACCAAGGCGACGAUGGGUAGCUGGCCUGAGAGGAUGAUCAGCCACACUGGAACUGAGACACGGUCCAGACUCCUACGGGAGGCAGCAGUGGGGAAUAUUGGACAAUGGGCGCAAGCCUGAUCCAGCCAUACCGCGUGGGUGAAGAAGGCCUUCGGGUUGUAAAGCCCUUUUGUUGGGAAAGAAAAGCAGCAGGUUAAUACCCCGCUGUUCUGACGGUACCCAAAGAAUAAGCACCGGCUAACUUCGUG
rnacentral:rRNA from 1 species